rnacentral:rRNA from 1 species
ACACAUGCAAGUCGAACGCAAGUUUUAACUUGAGUGGCGGACGGGUGAGUAACACGUGAGAAUUCACCUUCAGGUAGGGAAUAACUAUUGGAAACAGUAGCUAAUGCCCCAUAUGCUUUUUAAGUGAAAGAUAAUAAUCGCCUGAUGAGAAGCUCGCGGCUGAUUAGCUAGUUGGUAAGGUAACGGCUUACCAAGGCGACGAUCAGUAACUGGUUUGAGAGAAUGAUCAGUCACACUGGAACUGAGACACGGUCCAGACUCCUACGGGAGGCAGCAGUGGGGAAUUUUCCGCAAUGGGCGAAAGCCUGACGGAGCAAUACCGCGUGAGGGAAGAAGGCCUUCGGGUUGUAAACCUCUUUUAUCAAGGAGGAAAUUUUGACGUUUACUUGAUGAAUAAGCAUCGGCUAACUCCGUGCCAGCAGCCGCGGUAAGACGGAGGAUGCAAGUGUUAUCCGGAAUUAUUGGGCGUAAAGCGUCUGUAGGUGGUUUAAAAAGUCUACGGUUAAAGGUUGAAGCUUAACUUCAAAAAUGCCGUAGAAACUUUUAGACUUGAGUAUGGUAGGGGUAAAGGGAAUUUCCAGUGAAGCGGUGAAAUGCGUAGAUAUUGGAAAGACCACCGAUAGCGAAGGCACUUUACUGGGCCAUUACUGACACUGAGAGACGAAAGCUAGGGGAGCAAUGGGAUUAGAUACCCCAGUAGUCCUAGCUGUAACUAUGGAUACUAGAUGUUGUGUGUAUUGACCCAUGCAGUAUCGUAGC